UCAAACGACACUCACAACUCUCUCUCUCCCAAAUAGCCUUCCUCGUUACCGGAGAUUACGAGGAGAAGACAAACCACCAUCGGCGGCAACGGUGGCGUCAACACCGGAAAAUCUCCUUAAGGUUGCACGAUUUUUGCCUUUAAAGCAGAAUAGUAGCAGCUUUCGCGGUCUUCUUGUCAAGGCAGAAUAUCCCCAAGGGAUCAAUGCAAUAUCUGAGCUCGUAAAAAUCAGAUAUUUUUAAUAUUUGUCAGCGAUAAGCAGGAGGCUGUUGCUGCUACCACUGCUAUCCAAGAGGAGAUAUUUUCCGAGAUGGGAAUUGAUCCAAGAUUUGGUCUUGCUUGCUUGGGAAAAAUAAACAUGACUUAUGAGGAAAGCGGAUCAGGAAUUUGAACUUGAAAGCGAUGAAAUAAUUUAGUGUCAAGAGUUUGCUAAUUACUGGGACUGGUGUCAAAAGUUUGCUAAUUUAGAGAGGGUUCAACUUGUCUGCAGAAUAUUAAAAUCAUUCAUGCCUUUAUUCUAAGAGGUGUUUUUGAAAAAUAUUGUUUGACCAGCUGUUGGUGGUUCUUUUACUCGAUUACUCAGUGUUUUGCUACUAUAAUUAGUAAGCUGAUGGGAUAGAUAGUUCAGUUGAGCCAGCAAAAAUUUGCCUCCAAUGUUGUGGAGAAGUGAUCAAGCUUUGGAACUCCCAAAGAACGUCGAACCUUGGUAGACGAGAUGCUUGGCACAACUGAUGAAAAUGAACCUCUUCAGGUGGAGCAACCGAAAAAAGGAAAGAUGGAGAUAGUGAAGAUCUAGACCUUACUUAAUUAAGAAGAACGUUGAAUUGUUGUUGAUGUUGUAGGAGUCUUUUGUUAUCAAAAUUUGAAACUUUAGCUUUUGAAAUGUUGAACGGUAAAACUUAUGUGAUUGGGUUAAAACAUUUUGCUAUUAUGGUUAUUAUUAGCUUAUUGGACAAUAUAGAUUAUGAAGUAUUUUA